UACGUAGGUGGCAAGCGUUGUCCGGAUUUACUGGGUGUAAAGGGCGUGCAGCCGGAGAGGCAAGUCAGAUGUGAAAUCCGCGGGCUCAACCCGCGAACUGCAUUUGAAACUGCUUCCCUUGAGUAUCGGAGAGGUAAUCGGAAUUCCUAGUGUAGCGGUGAAAUGCGUAGAUAUUAGGAAGAACACCAGUGGCGAAGGCGGAUUACUGGACGACAACUGACGGUGAGGCGCGAAAGCGUGGGGAGCAAACAGG
rnacentral:rRNA from 1 species